UACGUAGGGUGCGAGCGUUAAUCGGAAUUACUGGGCGUAAAGGGUGCGCAGGCGGCGUCGCAAGUCAGGCGUGAAAUCCCCGGGCUUAACCUGGGAACUGCACUUGAAACUACGAUGCUGGGGUAUGGCAGAGGGAGGUGGAAUUCCACGUGUAGCGGUGAAAUGCGUAGAUAUCCGGAGGAACACCAGUGGCGAAAGCGGCCACCUGGACUGCACCUGACGCUGACACGCGAAAGCUAGGGGAGCGAACGGG
rnacentral:rRNA from 1 species